AGCCNUAAACCCCAAUGGCUAAUAAACAAAGUUAUUCGCCAGAGUACUAUAGGCAACAGCCCAAAACUCAAAGGACUUGGCGGUGCUUUAUACCCCCCUAGAGGAGCCUGUUCUAUAAUCGAUAAACCCCGAUAAACCUCACCACCCCUUGCCAAUCCAACCUAUAUACCGCCAUCUUCAGCAAACCCUACUAAGGUCCUAAAGUAAGCCCAAACAUAACCGUAUAAAAACGUUAGGUCAAGGUGUAGUCUAUGAGGUGGGAAGAAAUGGGCUACAUUUUCUAAAUAUAGAAUAUUCCGCACGACAACCUCUAUGAAACUCAAUAGGCCGAAGGAGGAUUUAGAAGUAAAUUGAGAAUAGAGAGCUCAGUUGAAUAGGGCCAUGAAGC
rnacentral:rRNA from 1 species